rnacentral:rRNA from 1 species
CCUACGGGUGGCAGCAGUGAGGAAUAUUGGUCAAUGGACGGAAGUCUGAACCAGCCAAGUCGCGUGAAGGAUGACUGCUCUAUGGGUUGUAAACUUCUUUUAUAUUAGAAUAAACUAUUCCACGUGUGGGAGUUUGAAAGUCUAAUAUGAAUAAGGCUCGGCUAACUCCGUGCCAGCAGCCGCGGUAAUACGGAGAAUCCAAGCGUUAUCCGGAUUUAUUGGGGUUAAAGGGUGCGUAGGCGGUUUGAUAAGUUAGUGGUGAAAUGUCGGGGCUCAACAGUGGAAUUGCCGCUGAUACUGUUGAUCUAGAGAAUAGUUGCGGUAGGCGGAAUGUAUGGUGUAGCGGUGAAAUGCUUAGAUAUCACACAGAACACCGAUUGCGAAGGCAGCUUACCAAACUAUAACUGACGUUGAGGCACGAAAGCGUGGGUAUCAAACAGGAUUAGAUACCCUAGUAGUC